CAGAGAUACACACAAUCACUCACAUAAUCACAGAUAUACACAAACACAAUCAUAGGCAGGCAGUCACACAUACACACACAAUUACAGGCAGACAGUCACACAUACACACACGCAGUCACAGACAGACAGUCACAGAUAGACAGUCACACACACACACAGAGUCACACAGACAAUCACAGGCAGACAGUCACUCACAGAGAG